rnacentral:tRNA from 1 species
CCUUCGAUAGCUCAGUUGGUAGAGCGGAGGACUGUAGGCUACAUAUGUUGAUAUCCUUAGGUCGCUGGUUCAACUCCCGCUCGAAGGA